AAUCAACGCUGGCGGCGUGCCUAACACAUGCAAGUCGCACGAGAAAGGGUAGCAAUACCUGAGUAAAGUGGCGCACGGGUGAGUAACACGUGAAUAAUCUACCUCCGAGUGGGGAAGUAACUGAGAGAAAUACUUAGCUAAUACCGCAUAACACUUACGAGUCAAAGACAGCAAUGCGCUUGGAGAGGAGUUCGCGGCAAAUUAGUUAGUUGGCAGGGUAAUGGCCUACCAAGACGAUGAUCUGUAUCCGGCCCUGAGAGGGCGGCACGGACACACUGGAACU
rnacentral:rRNA from 1 species